GAUUUUAUGGGGUCCAAUGGGAUCCUAUAGGGUGGCAAUGGGGUCCAAUAGGGUCCAGUGGGAUCCAAUGGGGUCCAAUGGGGUCUUAUAGGGUGGCAAUGGGGUCCAAUAGAGUCUAAUGGGAUUUUAUGGGGUCCAAUGGGGUCCAAUAGGAUCCAAUGGAAUUCAAUGGGGUCCAAUGGGGUCCUAUAGGGUGGCAAUGGGGUCCAAUGGGGUCCAAUGGGAUUUAAUGGGGUCCAAUGGGAUCCAAUGGGGUCCUAUAGGGUGGCAAUGGGGUCCAAUGGGAUUCAAUGGGGUUCAAUGGGAUCCAAAUGGGUGGCAAUGGGAUCCAAUGGGGUCCAAUGGGAUUCAAUGGGGUCCAAUGGCUGGCAAUGGGAUUUUAUGGGAUCCAAUGGGAUCCACUGGGGUCCUAUAGGAUUCAAUGGGGGCCAAUGGGAUUUAAUGGGGUCCAAUGGGGUCCUAUAGGGUGGCAAUGGGGUCCAAUGGGGUCUAAUGGGGUUUAAUGGGGUCCAAUGGGAUCCAAUGGGGUCCUAUAGGGUCUAAUGGGAUUUAAUGGAGUUUAAUGGGGUCCUAUAGGGUGGCAAUGGGGUCCAAUGGGAUUUAAUGGGGUCCAAUAGGAUCCAAUGGGGUCCUAUGGGGUGGCAAUGUGAUCUUAUAGGUUUGCAAUGGGGUCCAAUGGGAUCAAAUGGGAUUCAAUGGAAUUUAAUGGGGUCCAAUGGGAUUCAAUGGGAUCCAAUGGGAUCCCAUAGGGUCCAAUGGGAUCCCAUAGGGUCCAAUGGGAUCCAAGAGGAUGCAACGGCGUGCCAAUAGGAUCCGAAAGGAUCCAAUAGGAUCCAACGGGAUGUCAAAUAGCAACGGUUGCCAAUGGGGGAUGGGCUGUGGGUUGUUCCUCCUUCCUCCCCUCCCCCUCCCAAGCGUUCUACCCGUCCCGGCUGAAUCCUCCGUUUCUUCCUUUCUCCCCUCGUUCCCUUUUUACCGCUUUCGGAGCGCUGGCGGCUUUUAAAAUCGCCUUUAUUUCCCUGUGGAGAUCGGCAAGCAGCGGAGCUCCGUCCGCCGCGGCGGCCGGCGCCGAAUGAAGGGCGGGAAACGGCGGCUCUGAGGGCCCUUCCGGGAGGCGGGGCUUUGCGGGGUGAUUGACGGGCGCGUGGUCAAUCGGAAGGGAGGCUUCGCCGCGGUGCGGCCAAUGAGAGUGGCGCUUGAGGUGAGGGCCAAUCGGAGGGAGGGGGUGGGGAGAGAGGGCGGGAUUUGAAGGGGAGGGAGCGCCGUGAUUGGCUGGAGUUGGAGUGAUGGAGAGAAUGGGGCUCUUAGGGUAAUUAGAGGGCUUAAUUAGAAGGGGUAAUUAGAGGGAAUAGUUAGGGGGUAAUUAGGGGGGGUAGGGGUAAUUAGAGGGGGGUAAUUAGAGUGGGUAGGGGUAA
rnacentral:lncRNA from 1 species